UACAGAGGUCUCAAGCGUUGUUCGGAUUCAUUGGGCGUAAAGGGUGCGUAGGCGGCGCGGUAAGUCGGGUGUGAAAUCUCGGAGCUUAACUCCGAAACUCGCAUUCGAUACUGCCGUGCUUGAGGACUGGAGAGGGAGACUGGAAUUUACGGUGUAGCGGUGAAAUGCGUAGAUAUCGGGAAGAACACCCGUGGCGAAGGCGGUUCUCUGGGACGGUACUGACGCUGAGACGCGAAAGCGUGGGGAGCGAACAGG
rnacentral:rRNA from 1 species